AAGACUAUACUUUCAGGGAUCAUUUCUAUGGUUGGUUACCAGAGAAGUUUCUCUGAACAUGUAGAGCACUGGUAAAAGAGUCUCACUCUGU
ensembl:snoRNA U3 Small nucleolar RNA U3